AACCUAUCAAAUUAAUCAAUUAUCGCAGUAUCUGUUAUUGGUUCCACCGAUUCCGGUUCCAAUUGCAAAUCUUCAUCUUCCUCCAAUCCUUCUAUCGGCUCCUGCCUCAAAUGAGCUGAAAGGUCUUCAUUGUACUCACCCAAUUCACGGACUUGAGCUUCCAAUUUCAGGAUCUGGGCAUCUCUCAAUUCCAACUGGCACUGAAAGUGACUCCUCUCUUCUAGAACUUCGAGAACUAGUAAUGUCGAUACUUGUGCUUGACCAAUAUUGACUAAAUUCUUUGCCAAUCUUGUCACCUCGGCAUUCAAGGCCUCAAUUUUAGCCCUUAACCGCUCCGUUUCACAUCUAUAUUGGUUACUCAAUACCAAUUUCUCUUGCGCCAAUAACUCGGUCUUUUCUCAUUCCAUUACCAAUUGACCCUUCACUUUUUUUAGUUCCAAAAUUGAAU
rnacentral:lncRNA from 1 species